ACUAAUUAGAACGACAGGGGCGGGAUCUCCUGCCCUCUCGAUUGUCGGGAAGCAUGGACAGACUAUACGCUGAGUGGUCGUUCCCCACUCAGCGCGAAAAUGAGCUUCUCACCAAUCUUCGAGGGUAGCGCUGCUACCCUUUUUUUUCUG
rnacentral:sRNA from 2 species